GACGAACGCUGGCGGCGUGCCUAAUACAUGCAAGUCGAACGCAGUGGGGACGGGUGAGUAACACGUGGGUAACCUCGCAUCAGAGGGGAUAACACGUGGAAACAGGUGCUAAACCGAUACUGAUGGAUGGACCCGCGGUGCAUUAGCUAGUUGGUGGGGUAACGGCUCACCAAGGCCACGAUGCAUAGCCGACCUGAGAGGAUGACCGGCCACACUGGAACUGAGACACGGUCCAGACUCCUACGGGAGGCAGCAGUAGGGAAUCUUCGGCAAUGGACGCAAGCCUGACCCAGCAACGCCGCGUGUGUGAAGAAGGUUUUCGGAUCGUAAAGCUCUGUUGUCAGGGAGGCGGUAUCCACCCAGAAAGCCCCGGCUAACUACGUGCCAGCAGCCGCGGUAAUAC
rnacentral:rRNA from 1 species